GGGGGGGUGGACGUUCCGCGCUCGCUGUCUCGCGCCGGCCGUUAACGGUCCCCACGGCCCGUGAGGUGAUUGCGUUCCCUCCCCCCCACCCGCUCUCGCCCGAGGAACUGCGGGGGGAAAAAGCGGCUCGGAGCGCCCUGCCGAGGGCACCGCUUGGCUGCCCACCCUCCCCGGGCUGUGUGCUGCUGCCCGUGAGGGAAAUAAGUGGAAAAAAAAAAUUGGAACAAUAAGGGUAAAAUCCCCGUGUUGGGUCUCCACCAACAGCGAGGUGCAGUAAUUGCCAGAAAACAGUGAAAAGGUGGAUCCAGAUAGGAAAAGGGGAGCUGUCAGUUUCCUGCUGUGACAUGCACGGUCCUUGGUCAUCUUCCCUACAGACAUUGAUGCGGGAAAGUUGGGAAGUUAGCAGCUCAAGCAGCCUUUCACCAGUGAAGCUCUCCAAAAAGUUGUACUUUUAGAACAAACAAACAAAAAAGCACACCAAACAGUUUCGGUACCAGAAACAGACUGUCUCCCAAGUGUGGCAACUCGGUUGCAAAGACUGCAGAGCCCCCUCAGCGCAUUGUUGGCUAUAAGGAGGUCCCCAGCACCAAGAUUUGCUCUUUUUAAGGGGCUGCACAGACAAUCUCCCAGACUCCGUGGAAGCAAAAGGUGCUGAUAAACUGCGAUAUUUCAUCUCCAAUAUAUGUGCUUCCGUCCAGACAGUGGUUGUUCCAUGCCAUGGUAAAGGUGCCAGAAGUCCUCAGCGUUAUCGACGUGCAGCUGCUGUUUGUGCAGCACAAUGCCCUCUGAAGCUUCCUCCCUGAGGCUGCGCCGUGUCCUCCUGCAGCAGGUCAGCACCAGGCCGGGACAGGAGGUGACAUUUUCCCCGUGAUAGCUACCCCGCAAGGACAGUACUGGCCUGGUCCCACCAUUCGUUGCCCACCUACAGCAGCUGUGCGGGGCCAAGCAGGGCCCACUAUGGGCUGUGGGAGCUCCAGUGGCUCUGGGCAGGAGUUCAUGCCCCUUUCGCUGCCACCACCGCAUCCCUCAAGCCGGACACCGCAGCACCCUCAGCCCUGUGGGGCACCAAGGGCAUGCAGCUGGGACGUGCCUGAGAGGAGCCAGUGUUGUCUUCCUCCCCGAGCCACGCACCCCCAGCUCAAAGGGAUCGACCUGCACCGAGGGCCCGGCCAUCUGUGACAAGAACCUACCGUGUAAAACAAUCCUGUCUUUCAGCUCCUUUCAGCAGGAGCAACCCACGCCAGCACCCCCACAAAGCACCAGGGGACAGGACGUGGCUUCUCAGUGCUACUGGAGGGGCUUCCAGUCCUUGCAUCUCUUCAAACAAAAUGUCCCAAAGGCAUUUAUGCAGCCACAGCAAACCAGAGCUUAUUGACUCUGCUCAAGUCAGACACUUCAACUCGAAUGUGUGAUGCUGCACCAGUACAGCUUCCCAGUCAUCUGACAAGCCAGCAACAGUUUUUUCCUAAAGCAUUUUCUGUAUAGCAAGGGCUGAAGCAGUGCCCUACACCAACCUACAUUCAAGAGAAUUCGGGACAUUGAUAAAUGCUGCAGACAUCAGUAGUUUAUUGGUAUGUUUAGUCAAAACACAUUCAGAAUGGAAACUUAAAGGUAAAAAUACUUCCCACCUGCAACAAUUAAACUAGAAUCUACUAGCAUAUAAUGCUUGACACGUUACAGCAAUAAAGAUGGUAAUCCACUGUCUUGUAUAACUACUAAAGCCAAGAUGGUCAGCCAAGUUUGUUGAAAUAGAACCGUAAUGACAAAAUACUCCCACCAUCCACAAAUCAGCAACUAACAGUAAUGGUCAGCGAAUCCCUUCCUUUGCUCUAAGAGGUACAUUUACUAUAAAGAGGGUCGAGAACAUGUAAAAGUCCACAGUACAGCAGGUGAACUAUCACCAUGUAAACUUCUCUGGAUGACGUUCCAAUGGUUGUUCAUGUCACUUAAACAAGAAGCAAGCCAGAAAGCUGAAUGGCUCAGUAGCUCUUUUAAUACUCCAUUUUUUGUUGUUGAGAUUAUUCCCAGUGCCAUUUGCCAUACAAAUGAAAUAGGUGGCAGCAAAACACCAUCACGCUACAAAAGGGGAAAAAAAAGGAAACAAAAACACCUACAGAAAACAUACCAUUGGCAAACUGCUAACUCAAGACAGCAAUUUGUCUGAAGGCUUCAAACUUAAGUUGCGUUGUGUGCCGAGCGGUUCAAGUACUAUAGAUUUCCAGGUAACAGCUGAAAAUGCAAGACUUUCAACCAAAAACUGAAACAAAAAAUGGAGACUAGAAGAAAUGUGCCCCAGAAAAAAAGCGUAUGAAAAUAGUGCAAGACUUACCAUGAAACACAGAAGACCUCGAGUCUGGGAGAAAACAGACAGAUGCCAUUUCACUUUGCCUAACGUAUCAGUAAAGUAUGUGCAAAAUCUUCCAGCUUACUUGAAAACAGCAAAUGAUUGCAUAAUCCAGAGACAGAUUGAUAUUUUCCCUAUCUGCUUUUGCUUGAAAUUGCUGUUUUUUUGAGGUCUUCCAUGCUUAGAAGCAGCUUUUAGUGGUCACACUCUCACACAGACUCACACGCCAACACACACCCCUCUUUUACUCCUGACGCCUUGGAGCCGGGUGCUCGCUGCACGCCCCAGCACCAAGCCACACUGUACUGUCUGCUGCAGCUGCAGUUCAUGGGAAUGUGCUCCAGAACGUCAUCCCGGAACAGACCUCUCAACUGGACAAACCCACAAGUAAUACUGAAGAAGAGGACGUCUCCUUUCUACCCUUAAGUCCGGAGCCACUCAAUGUCAACUUCAGCUGAGAGUAAUGUGCAAAAUGAGUAAGAGUUUAAAAA